ACCAUCUUGGAAUCUGGAACCGGGGACUCUGUCGGUACCGGGACGGGUCUGCGCGGCGCAGCGAGGACGCGGGGUGUCUGGACUCCGCCAUGCCCUGGCAGCCUUCAUCUGGAUGGAGAUAACACGGAAAGAUGCCCAGGUUGAUGGAUGGCCAUGAUGUAGACUUGCGUUUUCCUGGGAAAUCCUCAGGACAUAGUACUUCCAGAAAGUCCGAGGGAGGGAAGAACUCCGUUCCCUGGAAGCUGGAAAUGAAAAGGGCAGGCCUCCCAUGGAUACCAACCAAACACAGAAAAUCAAGUUUCCGUAAGACCAGGUGCUUCCUCUCCUUUUAAGGCUGGAUGAAGCAAUCCAGUAGGAAGAAAAGGUGCUGAAGGCAGGCAGAAGAGUCAGAGACAGCCCCAGCCCUCCAUUAGGAGUCCCACAGGAAGACCUGCUGCACAACUCUGACAUGUGUGCAGAAGGCCCAGGACUUUGAGUUUAUAAUCCCCCUGCCUCCACCUCUGCACUGCCAGGACUAUUCACGGACACCCCUGUUCUCAGCUUUUUGGGCAGCUAGGGAGCAAAUCCAGGAUCCCAUGCCUGGGAGGCAAGUCCUACUCUCCUACAUUUUCAGCCCAGGAACUUUAUUAUUGACUCAUACAUCGUCUACAUAUGUUGCUGUUUCAACAUUGUGUUCUUUAACAUGAAUUAUUUCAUCCAUUCCCCCUUUCUGU
rnacentral:lncRNA from 1 species